ensembl:lncRNA
GUACGUGCUGUAUCUGUAAUCAAUAAACAAUCAGCAAUACUCCAGGGCCUGGGUGUGCACUAGGUCUGAACUGUGUGACUUCAAAAUACGGCGCAGAUAAUGCUCUACUAAGGGCUGUGUUUCCUGUCAGGUGACUUUAUGGUCCUGGUUUUGUAAUUAGUGUGAAAGAGAAAGUGGUCCAUUUCUAAAAUGAGAGGAAUACUCUGCAGAACAAGCUCACCAGGAAGAAAACAGCAAACUUCAGGGCUUCCCAGAUGGUGCUAGUAUUAAAGAACCCAUCUGCCAAUGAAGGAGACAUAAGAGACACAGGUUUGAUCCCUGGGUGGGGAAGAUCCCCUGGAAGAGGGUAUAACAACCCACUCCAGUGUUCUUGCCUGGAGAAUCCCAUGGACAGAGGAGCCUGGCAGGCUACACGAAUGAAGCGACUUGGCACGCAUGAACGAAAACUUCAGUGUGCGUCAGUACCACCUGUGGGGCUUCUGAAAACACAGAUCUACUGGGCCCUGCCCUCAGGAGGUCCUGAGAGGAAGAGAACCUGGAGGAAUAAGCUACUGGAGCUGUGAGCUAUCCUGGGGACCACAGAAUCCAUCCCCUCCCUUAUACUUUGAGGCAAAGACCCCCAAGAGCUACUGUGGCCUGACUGAGGUGUUUCAGCUACAUGACCACCUGCCAGAAAUGCUGUAGAAGAAAUGCUACAAAUUGGGUACCGUAGAAGACGGCAAAAACAGCUGCACUUAUUCUCUUCCUUUUUUACAUAUCCUUUUGCACGAUGACGUUGAAAUAGUUCCCAGUGAGAGAUGGCAUUUCCCCACCCCUUGAAUCUGGGCUUAUGAACUGCUUCACCUAACAAAAUGCAGCAGAAGCAAUACCACGCCAGUUCUGAGUCUAGGUCUCAAAAGGCCUUGCAUAGUUUCAUUCUCCUAGAAAUUUCAGAGACCCAUAUGAAUAAACCCUAGCUAGACUAGUUUUUUGAGAGAAUACCAGACUUCACUAGCUAUGGUGAAGUACCAUAGCUAGUAGCCAUCCAAACUCUGGAAGCAGAGCCACUUAGCUGACAUAUAAGCUCUCCACAGACACCUAAGUGAGCUUAAUCUGUAAAUUCAUAGGCAAUGACUCACACAGUUAAUGGCUGCUGUGUGAUUCUCAAAAGCACCGUCUGAGAUGAAGGGAAGAGAUAGGGAAUGCCCGAUGUCCUGAUUAGAACAGGCUGUGCCACCGUCAUCUACCAGUGUCCAAAAGGCCUCCAGAGACUUUUUUCAAUGGACUUAGUGGUCAGUGUUAAUUGGGCAUCUUACUAUUUGCCAGACAAUGGCUUUAAUGCUUUAUAUAAAUUAAUUCUUAAGCCUCAAAAGACUUAGUGAGAAAUGUAUUAUUUUUUGAAUUUAUAUGAACUUUAUUUUUAGACAACCUACAUGAUGUGUUGUAUGUUUCCCACCCC